AGUGAAACCAGGAUUAGAUACCCUGUUACUUAUAUAUAACAAAUUUUGGAAUAGUAAUUAUGAUGAAAUUUAUCGGAUUUGGCGGCAAGAUAGCCAUUUAGAGGAACCUGCCCUAUAAACGAUGAUCCACGAUUUAACUAUACUUUUAUUAGUAUUACAGUUUGUAUACCGCUGUUGUCAGUCAGUUUCUUUAGAAAACUUUCAAUAAUGAUAAAAUCAUUGACUUCAAGUAAAGGUGCAGCUUAUAUAAAAGACAGAGGUGGGUUACAUUUAGAAGAUUAAAACGGAUUAAGUUUAUGAAAAUAGCUUUUGAAGGUGGAUUUAAUUGUAAAGUUUAUAUAAACUUGAUGAGAGCUCUAUCU
rnacentral:rRNA from 1 species